UACAGAGGGGGCAAGCGUUGUUCGGAAUUACUGGGCGUAAAGGGCGCGUAGGCGGCCUUCUAAGUCGAACGUGAAAUCCCCGGGCUCAACCCGGGAACUGCGUCCGAUACUGGGAGGCUUGAAUCCGGGAGAGGGAUGUGGAAUUCCAGGUGUAGCGGUGAAAUGCGUAGAUAUCUGGAGGAACACCGGUGGCGAAGGUGGCAUCCUGGACCGGUAUUGACGCUGAGGAGCGAAAGCGUGGGGAGCGAACAGG
rnacentral:rRNA from 1 species